UUGAAGAGUUUGAUCAUGGCUCAGAUUGAACGCUGGCGGCAGGCCUAACACAUGCAAGUCGAGCGGUAGCACAGAGAGCUUGCUCUCGGGUGACGAGCGGCGGACGGGUGAGUAAUGUCUGGGAAACUGCCUGAUGGAGGGGGAUAACUACUGGAAACGGUAGCUAAUACCGCAUAAUGUCGCAAGACCAAAGUGGGGGACCUUCGGGCCUCAUGCCAUCAGAUGUGCCCAGAUGGGAUUAGCUAGUAGGUGGGGUAACGGCUCACCUAGGCGACGAUCCCUAGCUGGUCUGAGAGGAUGACCAGCCACACUGGAACUGAGACACGGUCCAGACUCCUACGGGAGGCAGCAGUGGGGAAUAUUGCACAAUGGGCGCAAGCCUGAUGCAGCCAUGCCGCGUGUGUGAAGAAGGCCUUCGGGUUGUAAAGCACUUUCAGCGGGGAGGAAGGCGGUGAGGUUAAUAACCUCAUCGAUUGACGUUACCCGCAGAAGAAGCACCGGCUAACUCCGUGCCAGCAGCCGCGGUAAUACGGAGGGUGCAAGCGUUAAUCGGAAUUACUGGGCGUAAAGCGCACGCAGGCGGUCUGUCAAGUCGGAUGUGAAAUCCCCGGGCUCAACCUGGGAACUGCAUUCGAAACUGGCAGGCUAGAGUCUUGUAGAGGGGGGUAGAAUUCCAGGUGUAGCGGUGAAAUGCGUAGAGAUCUGGAGGAAUACCGGUGGCGAAGGCGGCCCCCUGGACAAAGACUGACGCUCAGGUGCGAAAGCGUGGGGAGCAAACAGGAUUAGAUACCCUGGUAGUCCACGCCGUAAACGAUGUCGAUUUGGAGGUUGUGCCCUUGAGGCGUGGCUUCCGGAGCUAACGCGUUAAAUCGACCGCCUGGGGAGUACGGCCGCAAGGUUAAAACUCAAAUGAAUUGACGGGGGCCCGCACAAGCGGUGGAGCAUGUGGUUUAAUUCGAUGCAACGCGAAGAACCUUACCUGGUCUUGACAUCCACAGAACUUAGCAGAGAUGCUUUGGUGCCUUCGGGAACUGUGAGACAGGUGCUGCAUGGCUGUCGUCAGCUCGUGUUGUGAAAUGUUGGGUUAAGUCCCGCAACGAGCGCAACCCUUAUCCUUUGUUGCCAGCGGUCCGGCCGGGAACUCAAAGGAGACUGCCAGUGAUAAACUGGAGGAAGGUGGGGAUGACGUCAAGUCAUCAUGGCCCUUACGACCAGGGCUACACACGUGCUACAAUGGCAUAUACAAAGAGAAGCGACCUCGCGAGAGCAAGCGGACCUCAUAAAGUAUGUCGUAGUCCGGAUUGGAGUCUGCAACUCGACUCCAUGAAGUCGGAAUCGCUAGUAAUCGUAGAUCAGAAUGCUACGGUGAAUACGUUCCCGGGCCUUGUACACACCGCCCGUCACACCAUGGGAGUGGGUUGCAAAAGAAGUAGGUAGCUUAACCUUCGGGAGGGCGCUUACCACUUUGUGAUUCAUGACUGGGGUGAAGUCGUAACAAGGUAACCGUAGGGGAACCUGCGGUUGGAUCACCUCCUU
rnacentral:rRNA from 1 species